rnacentral:tRNA from 1 species
AUUUAAAUAACUUAAUUGAGAGUGUAAUAUUGAAGAUAUUAAUGUGGUAUAUAUUACCUUUAAAUA